rnacentral:rRNA from 1 species
UACGGGGGGGGCAAGCGUUGUUCGGAAUUACUGGGCGUAAAGGGCUCGUAGGCGGCCAACUAAGUCAGACGUGAAAUCCCUAGGCUCAACCUAGGAACUGCGUCUGAUACUGGAUGGCUUGAAUCCGGGAGAGGGAUGCAGAAUUCCAGGUGUAGCGGUGAAAUGCGUAGAUAUCUGGAGGAAUACCGGUGGCGAAGGCGGCAUCCUGGACCGGCAUUGACGCUGAGGAGCGAAAGCGUGGGGAGCAAACAGGG